rnacentral:rRNA from 1 species
CAGCCGCCGCGGGAAUACGAAGGGGGCUAGCGUUGCUCGGAAUGACUGGGCGUAAAGGGCGCGUAGGCGGCAUAUACAGUCAGGCGUGAAAUUCCCGGGCUUAACCUGGGGGCUGCGUUUGAUACGUAUGGGCUAGAGUGGGGAAGAGGGUCGUGGAAUUCCCAGUGUAGAGGUGAAAUUCGUAGAUAUUGGGAAGAACACCGGUGGCGAAGGCGGCGACCUGGUCCUUGACUGACGCUGAGGCGCGAAAGCGUGGGGAGCAAACAGGAUUAGAUACCCCUGUAGUCCCUGUCUCUUAUAA